rnacentral:lncRNA from 1 species
UCAGGUUCCUGAAGUCUCCUUUACAAAGCACCCUUCCCUCGGGGAGGGAAGGGAUGCUGUCCCAGCAUCCCCAUCCUGCCAGCCUCUCUACAGCUGCCCACUGCAUCCUCCCUCCCCAUCCUGCCAGCCUCUCUACAGCUGCCCACCGCAUCCUGUCUUGCUGCAUCUGGAUGGGUGUUUCCUGCCUGUGGCUCAUCCUUGCUCCUGGGGCCUCCAUGAUCCCUACUUAGAAUUUCAAAGCCACUGCCAAGUCCUCCAAUGGGAUCGUCUACCGCCACCCCCAGACACUGAGCAGAGCCUCUUGGGCCUGUUUUGCAGGGUGAUGAGGCUCCUGGAAUCCACCUGGAGCUCUGUGUCUUUCCCUGGAACUUGUUACUGCAGCCUCCCACUGCACUGGGGCGCCUUUUCCCCAGUGUUGGGGAACCUCUCUCUCCUUGUUUCCUCACUGCCCCAGUUGGCCCUCCUUCCCUCCUGGGCAGAGCUGAUGUCCCCUUUGUCAUUUACACCGCAGGGCAAAUGGUCUUGGAAAUGACCUAAAAUUUGCCCUUCAGCUCCAUGACCUAAAAGCUGCUCCUGUGAACCUUGCACCCCGUUUUUAUCAGGUCUUAGCCUCCCUUCCUCUCCCUGGAGCAACAUUGUUUUGGGGGCACCUAUCUUCACACCCAUCUUUCUUUCUUUCUUCCUUUUUCUUUUUUGGCCACCCCAGGACCAGUGGAGUUCCCGGGCCAGGGAUCAAAUGUGUCGCCAUUUACAUCAUAACUGUGCCAACUCUGGAUCCAUCCUUAAUCCACUGUGCUGGGCUAGAGAUCAAACCUGCAUCCCAGAGCUCCAGAGACACAGCCAAUUCCUUUGUGCCACAGGGGAACUCUACACCUGUCUUUCAGAUCCUUGGGAUUUAGUGACUUGAAUUUUAGCCUGACAUCUUGGCCUGACUUUGGGUUGUAGAAGGACCACUCAGCACUCUGUCCAUCCUAGGGGCCCUGCCUCUGCCCAGCCCCCAUCUCCAUUCCCCCGGAUGUUGCUGCACUGAGGCCACCGCGAUGACACAUUUCCAGGCUCUGAUCUCUUCCUCAACCCGACAGCUCGGCCCAGGCAGUUUCCAGCUGAUGGUAUGGGAUUAAUAAAGACUGUAGGAAGCCUUUGUUCUUAAAAAAGAAAGUCCUCUUUUUAAAAAAGAGUGAUGUGCAUAAUAAAAAAAUUCAAAAAGCAAAAGAGAAACUCUCUCCUAUACCCUUGCUCUCUAGUUCCACUCUGCACAGGUGAGUAUUUUGGGUUUCCUGUUUCUUCCAAAUAUUUUCUAAGCACUACUCUGCCACCC